UUUGUUUUAUAAUUUUGUUUUAGAGCUUUAAGUGAUCGAUCGCUUUCGGGAUUAGGUUCCAAGUUUUAUAACAAGACGCGUGUAAUCUCGACAUCCACAUUAGUUCUCAUCAUUUGAUACAUUCGUUACGCACGACUGCCCGUGUUUGUUCAGUCAUCGGUUGUUUUACAAACAGAAUGCUCAUUCGAUCUCAAGAAUAAUUCCCAUAAAAUCGACACUUCCAAUAUUUAGCCUAAAAGAUUGGUAUAAUUGAAUUAUCGUAAAUAUGACAUGUCCUUCUUCAAACGAGGCUUGCGGAGAGUAUGGUAGGCAGCGGCUUGGCUCUGCCCCUGGCAUUGCUGACGUCCAUGAGCGACGGUGACCACUUACCAUCAGGUGGGGCGUAUGCUCGUCUGCCUACAAAGGCAAUAAAAAAAAAUAAAAAAAAAAA